rnacentral:rRNA from 1 species
UUGAAUUGAAGAGUUUGAUCAUGGCUCAGAUUGAACGCUGGCGGCAGGCUUAACACAUGCAAGUCGAACGGUAGCAGGAAGAAAGCUUGCUUUCUUUGCUGACGAGUGGCGGACGGGUGAGUAAUGCUUGGGAAUCUGGCUUAUGGAGGGGGAUAAC